GAUGAACGCUGACAGAAUGCUUAACACAUGCAAGUCGAUGGGGAAGUGGUGCUUGCACCAUGGUAACCAUGGCGGACGGGUGAGUAACGCGUAAGGAACUUACCUGCGGGACCGGGAUAACAGCAGGAAACUGCUGACAAGACCGGAUAAGGUCAUUAAGCUGCAUAGCUUAGUGAUGAAAGGAGACGCCUGCGGAGAGCCUUGCGUCCUAUUAGCUAGUUGGAGGGGUAACGGCCCACCAAGGCGAAGAUAUGUAGCCGGCCUGAGAGGGUGGACGGCCACAAGGGGACUGAGAUACGGCCCUUACUCCUACGGGAGGCAGCAGUGGGGAAUAUUGGACAAUGGGGGCAACCCUGAUCCAGCAAUUCUGUGUGCACGAAGACGGUUUUCGGAUUGUAAAGUGCUUUCAGCAGGGAAGAAGGAAGUGACGGUACCUGCAGAAGAAGCGACGGCUAAAUACGUG
rnacentral:rRNA from 1 species